rnacentral:rRNA from 1 species
AGUCGAGCGACAGAGAAGGAGCUUGCUCCUUUGACGUUAGCGGCGGACCUUUGAGAAACACGUGGGCAACCUACCUUAUAGUUUGGGAUCCCUCCGGGAAACCGGGGCUAAUACCGAAUAAUCUAUUUUACUUCAUGGUGAAAUACUGAAAGACGGUUUCGGCUGUCCCUAUAAGAUGGGCCCGCGGCGCAUUAGCUAGUUGGUGAGGUAACGGCUCACCAAGGCGACGAUGCGUAGCCGACCUGAGAGGGUGAUCGGCCACACUGGGACUGAGACACGGCCCAGACUCCUACGGGAGGCAGCAGUAGGGAAUCUUCCACAAUGGGCGAAAGCCUGAUGGAGCAACGCCGCGUGAGUGAAGAAGGUUUUCGGAUCGUAAAACUCUGUUGUAAGGGAAGAACAAGUACAGUAGUAACUGGCUGUACCUUGACGGUACCUUAUUAGAAAGCCACGGCUAACUACGUGCCAGCAGCCGCGGUAAUACGUAGGUGGCAAGCGUUGUCCGGAAUUAUUGGGCGUAAAGCGCGCGCAGGCGGUCCUUUAAGUCUGAUGUGAAAGCCCACGGCUCAACCGUGGAGGGUCAUUGGAAACUGGGGGACUUGAGUGCAGAAGAAGAAAGUGGAAUUCCAAGUGUAGCGGUGAAAUGCGUAGAGAUUUGGAGGAACACCAGUGGCGAAGGCGACUUUCUGGUCUGUAACUGACGCUGAGGCGCGAAAGCGUGGGGAGCAAACAGGAUUAGAUACCCUGGUAGUCCAACGCCGUAAACGAUGAGUGCUAAAUGUUAGGGGGUUUUCGCCCCUUAGUGCUGCAACUAACGCAUUAAACACUCCCCCUUGGGAGUACGGUUGCCAGACUGAAAAUCAAAAGAAAUUACGGGGGGCCCCCCCAACGGUGGAGCAAGUGGUUUUAUUUGAAACAACCCGAAGAACCCUUCCCGGUCUUGACAUCCCCUUUGCCCCCGUAAAAAAAAGGUUUUUCCUUUCGGGACCACGGUGACAAGUGGUGCAUGGUUGUUGUCAACUCGUGUCGUGAGAUGUUGGGUUAAGUCCCGCAACGAGCGCCACCCUUGAUUUUAGUUGCCAUCAUUUAAUUGGGCCCUUUAAGGUGACUGCCGGUGACAAACCGGAGGAAGGUGGGGAAGACGUCAAAUCAUCAUUCCCCUUAUGACCUUGGCUACACCCCUGCUACAAUGGACGAUACAAACGGUUGCCAACCCGCGAGAAGGAACUAAUUCCAUAAAGGCGUUCUCAGUUCGGAUUGUAGGCUGCAACUUGCCUACAAGAAACCGGAAUCCCUAGUAAUUGCGGAUCCUCCUUAAGGGGUGAAUACGUUCCCCGGCCUUGUACACCCCCCCCCUUAAAGCCCGAGAAUUUUAACCCCCGAAAUCGGUGGGGUACCUUUUGGAGCCAGCCG